ACCAGAGUCUGUUUCGUAACUAAUGCAUCACUUUUAAAGACAAAGCUUAAUUGGCAUUUCCUCCAUGAGAUUUUCCUGUUCACUCACCCUAUCCCAACACCUCAACAGAAAGAACCCACCUUCUCUAUCCAAGGGUACUCUGAAGUCACUGCCUAUUCUAAAGAGAGGGCAAACAGGGCCAGGGAUGUAGCUCAGUGGCACAAUGCCUGCCUGGCAAGUGCCAGGUCCUGAGUUCAAUGCCUGGUACCAAAAAAAAAAAGAGAGAGAGAGAGGGCAAACAUAUGCUUUCUUCACUGGCACCCUGAGGAUACUAAAACUAUACGAAAUAUGUUAAUAAAUAAUAAAAUGAGUUUAGCUUUGAUGAACAGCCAGAAUUAUAUAAUCAAAAAAUCAAGAAAUAAUUUAUUUUCAGCACAUGUCCUUUUCUUGUCAUUUCAAAACAUAAAAUAUUAUUUUGAAACGCAUUUGGAGGGAGUGGAGGGCACAGUAACGUUUCAGUCCUUAGGGCUGCUAAAGACCUUAAUCGAAUGCGUUGGUAUUCCCCAAAUUAUUUCAUCACCGCUCUGGCUGCAUUUACGGCAACCCUCCACAGUCCUGCCCUACUCCCUACCAAACACCCUGAGCACUUCCAGGGACCCGUUAUUUUUAUUUCACUCACUUCAUCUUGAUUGUGCACCUUUCGUUAUUCAUCGAACACCAUGCUGGGUACCUGAGGAUGCCAUGGAUACACUUCAGAUCUCAACACCGGCCAGUAGCCAGGUAGCAGGUGAGAGGGUGACAGUUCCAUCCAUGCCUCCGUGUGGGUGGACGUGGCUGGGGAAGAAGAGGCACCAUUCUUCUGUACCUUCCUCAGCACAUGGCUCAGAAAGUUUGAGCAUUAUACCAAGUUUUCGCAGCCGUGGAAGGGCUAUUUCACACACAUGAAAGGGGAAGCCCUACCCUCCAGCCAGCCACGCUGGGUUUUCCCAGUUCCUUGACCCUCCCACCAUAUCCCACUCUCUUUCAAAGGGUCUUAGUAUAUGAUAUUCCCUCUGCUCUAAGACCCUCUUCUUCAACUCCUUUUCUGUGGUUCUUUCACCUAACUGAUGCAUUCCCCCUCUAAAGUCUGGCUUAGCAUCGAUUCUCUGGGAGACCUCUAUUUCUCAUACCAAGUCGAGUCCCUACAAUCUGGCAUCUGCCCUUUAGACUUUUCCUUUAUAGCAUUUGUUGCAAGUGUAAUUGGUUAAUUAUUUUUUACUAUCGAUUUUCCUUGCUAAAACAUCAGCCCCGUGGGAGAGGUGUGCUGCCUUGUUCACUGCCUGUUUUAGGGCCUGGCGCAUAGACUAUGCCAAGCAAAUCUGCACAAAUAAACACAUGAAUGAACAGCAGAGCAAACAAAACAGGAAAUCCACAAAAACCUACAGUAGAAAGGAGCCUAGUUUCCCUUCAUAAGCGAGCAAAUAGGGUAUUGCAGUUGUUUAAUUUGUUUUGUUGGGCAAACACUUUCAUAGAAUUUUGACAACAACCAAAGGCAAGUACAGCUCUACGGAAAGGUUAGAAAGAGGUAAUGUUUCCUUCAUACACUUUCACUUUGACUCAUCAGAUACUGAAGCUAAACCUGGAAACUUUGUUGUAUGUUUACAAGAGAGAGUACAGACUUGGAAUCCAUUUCAAGGGAAGAAUCCCAUUAAAAGUGUAGAUUUAUUUUCAUCUUCCUUGAGUGUAAGGAAAGUACUGUACACUAAACUUACACUGCUUGAGAGAAUGACUAGCUAAUUGCUACUUUUAUCUCUGAAAGAAAGCUGUUAGUUUUCUCAAGUGUAAUACGAAGAUGUAUUCAAGUGUGGAGUAGACAGUGAGCAAAGACGAUCAUGGUCAGGUUCCUUCUUUCCUGUGCAUAUGUGAGACCUCUCUCUGCAAGAGGUAGAGUCCAUUUCCCCUUUCAUUGAAUUUCCAUGAAUUGUGAUUUUUCUUGACCAGUAAAAUGUGGCAGAAGUGACAAUGUGCCAGUCCUUGGCAUAUCCUUUACGAGGCUUAAUGACCUAUUUUUGGGGGGAUAGUACUGGGAAUGAACCCAGGGCCUUCGCACUGAACUACAUCCUCAGGCUCCUACUUCCUUUUGUUUUUUGUUUUUUGUUUUGGUACCGGGAUUGAACCUGGGUCCUUGAGCUUGUGGGGCAGGCAGUGGAACCACUGAGCUAAAUCUCCAGCACCCCCACUUCCUUUUUAUCUUUAAUUUUGAGACAGAGGCUCACUAAGUCAUUCAGCUGCCCAGGCUGGGCUCAAACUUGCCAACUCUUGCCUUAGCCUCUCAGAGUACUGAGAUUACAGGCAUGGGGGCACUGUGCUCGGCUCGGCUCCCACUUUUGAGGAAGUGGCCAGCCUGCUGUACAAAAGCUAGGAUGAGAGUGUGGGAUGAGACUGCAUGAAAGAGAGAAAUCAGGUGGAAGAGCACUGAAGUACGGGAUGUUCAAGCAAGGCCUUCUUCAAGCUCCUGACGGCCCAUUUGCAACUGAAUACGAAGAAGCAGGCAGCUCCAGGAUCUGUCCAUCAAGCACAGUCACCUUAAGCCUUGCUUGAAGUCCUGACCCAUGGACUCAGGGACAAUAACAAACAGAGGAUGCUUUAAGCUUCUAAAUUUUCAACGGAUUUGUUACACAGCAGCAGUUGACUGAGACAAGGAAUUUCAAGCUGGAUGUGUUGGCACAUGCCUAUAAUCCUAGCAAGGAUGUGAGUUUGAGCACAGCCUGGGCAAAGACUAUGCCUCAAGGGGGGCCAGUGGUGGUGGUGGUGGGUGGGAAUAUAGCUCAGUGCAAAGGGCCUGGGCUCAAUCCCCAGUACCAGGAAGAAAAAUGAUACUUCAGUUACUGAGUGGUCACUUGUCUGAUAGCCUCAACUAUAUAGAAUAAAACUGAGCACCGAUUAACAAAGUUACAGAACAUGCACUUGGCUUCUAGAAGGGAUGUUGCAACACUCAUUCAGGACAUGUAGGAGCCUGUGUUUACCCAAAAUGUUACUGUUUGCUCAUCUCAGAGCCACAAAUGGCAUAAAAUAAUGCAAACCUGAACAGGUUUAGUGGAUUCCAGAGAGUACCAUGUUCACUUAGCUCAUUUUUAGAUGGAAGAACAGAGACCAAGACAGGUAGCUAGCGCUCUCAUGUUGACAAUGUAAAAGAAUGUCUUAAAAACAGGAAAAUAAUUCAAGAUUUCUGGUCAACCAAGUGACAUGUUUUCUCUAAUCAGCCUUCCUGUUACAAAGAAAAAGAUAAAUUUAAAGAGGUAGGAAACAAAUGGGCCUUAAGAUACAAAGAGAACAGUGAAAGAUGGCUUGAAAAGUUGGUAGGCACAAUCUUAAAGGCAUGGGAACCCCAGUUCCUGCAAAGUGAGGUCAAACAGCCCCAUUCAUGCUGUAGGAACGCCAAGGCAGCCCUCUGUUCCAGCACAGAGCAGCCCAGUACUUGAUAUUCACGGCCAUGACCCUGAGUCAGAAAGCAAAGAUUAAAUUAUGUUUCUCAUAUUCUAUUUAAAAAGGUAGAGAAGUGUGUAAUACACUCCCAGAAAUGUUCCCAUGCAAAAUGGCUAAAAUAAAUAUACGAUUUGAUGUGCAAGGGAUAAGCCGCAGUUAUGUGGAAAAUGCAUUUACAUGGAACAGUCCACGUCAGAUAAAUGAAGCAUUGCUGUUUUUGCAAAAUGUUCAGCAUGUAUUCCAAGUCUUGGCUAGUCUGAAGGUUUCUACUAAAUGAAAAAUGAGCUUUACUUGCGUCUAAAUCUGAGCUUAAGUGCACUCUCUAAAACCUUCCUGGGAAUUUUUUGGACAGGUGUCUCUUUUCAAACAGCAUAAUAUUUGGACAUUAGAUUUUAAAUAUGUACAGAUAAAAAUGAUAUUCCAAACUUGUGCUUCACUCAUAACCAGAUGGGAUAACAGUAGUGAGUUGCCGAGAGACAAUCCUUCACGGAUAGAAAGAAGAAGAAACCCUUACCUCCUCCUAACCCUGCUCAGAGGUUUGUGGCUCCAAGUUCUAGAAUGAAGGCUGUGUUAUCCCAAAUCUCUAAUAAUUUAAUAUGGUUGGAGCAACAGAAAAUUGGCUAUCUUGCUUCCACACGGGCUAACAACAUUUUCCCUUUGUAAAAUCUAGAGUUUUGGAGACAAUAAAAACAGAUGUUGCCACCUGCAGGCCCUUAAGAACUUGGAACAACGCGCUCAUUGAUCAGCAGAGGCCAGCUGCGAGCCUUUUGCGUUUUAUCUACAUGAUGAGCCCACUGCUCAUGAGGAUGGGAACUGAUAGGAAGAAAUGUCAACAAGGGUGAGCAAGACAUGUGGUCAAGCUCUUUUCUACUGCUCUUCAAAAGGCAGCCUGAAUGCAUCUAAAUAUACAAUCACAGAGUAUAAUUAAAGUCGGUAAAAAAUUCACUGAAUGCCUAUUAUGUGCCAGGCCCAGCGCUGGUUUGUUUCAUGUAUAUUAUUUCACUGAACCCUCAUCAAUAAAAUUAUUAGC
ensembl:lncRNA